GGGGGCGUAGUUCAGUUUGGUUAGAACGCCGGCCUGUCACGCCGGAGGUCGAGGGUUCGAGUCCCUUCGUCCCCGCCA
rnacentral:tRNA from 1 species